AAACCAUGAUGAGGACAUUGUCUUAAUAAACCUUUGAAUUUGUUCAUGCUUCAAAUAGUGAUUCUCCAUAUGCUUGAGAAAAAUUUAUGAUGAAAUUCUUUAUGUGC